CCUACGGGUGGCAGCAGUGGGGGAUAUUGCACAAUGGGGGAAACCCUGAUGCAGCGACGCCGCGUGUGGGAAGACGGUCUUCUGGAUUGUAAACCACUGUCCCCAGGGACGAAAAUGACGGUACCUGGGGAGGAAGCUCCGGCUAACUACGUGCCAGCAGCCGCGGUAAUACGUAGGGAGAAAGCGUUGUCCGGAAUUACUGGGUGAAAAGGGAGCGGAGGCGGGGAUGCAAGUUGGGUGUCAAAACUACCGGCUAAACCGAUAGUCGCACUCAAAACUGCGGCUCUAGAGUGAAGUAGAGGCAGGCAGAAUUCCAGGUGUAGCGGUGAAAUGCGUAGAGAUUAGGAGGAACACCGGUGGCGAAGGCGGCCUGCUGGGCUAUUACUGACGCUGAGGCUCGAAAGUGUGGGGAGCAAACAGGAUUAGAUACCCGAGUAGUC
rnacentral:rRNA from 1 species